AUGUUUGUAGCUGUAGUAUGGAAGAAAGAAAUAAUUUUAUUUUAUUUCUCCCCUGUCCUCGUGGCGACUGCCAACCUCCGUGCCAUAGGCGCGCCGACGCCUGCUUUGCUCGUGUUGUGCUGCCUUGGCAGUGGAGUCGGGAUCCUUGGUGACGGAUUAUUCCUCGAUGAAAGCGCGGGUACUAUUACUGCAGAUUUUUGUUGGGUGGAUGAUAUUUGGGAUUAUUUUGCGUGCGUGCAGCUUGAUGAGAAUGUGCAUAUGGAGAUUAUUUAUAGCUCGAUCAAAGAGGCAAAAUUACCAAAUCCCGACUUGUCAGUCAUCUUGUUGAUUGUCAGUUAUACAUUUGAUUCGUGA
rnacentral:rRNA from 1 species